GUGAAGAGGCCUGGGCACAGGAGACGCAGCGACGGGCAGCUGUCCAGGAGCCAUGGAACUGCUCUUGCUCGUGGGCCUCUGUGUACUUGCUCAGGGGUCAGAAAAACACCCUCUCACCAGCAUGAUCUGUAAUCGGGGCACACGAGUAGCCAAACAUAAUGACAGGACUCUGCAAGGCUGUGCGUGUCAUCCAGAGCCCCAUGGGUUCUAUUGCUGCCAGUCCUGAGAGAAAUCAGGAGCGGUUUUGAGAUAAGAAGAUAAGCCAGAAACAUCCAUCCGAGAACGACAUUUGAAGAACUAAGCCUUCAACUGACACGUGAAACCAAGCACUCAGCUCCACUUUUCUGGAGGGUCAGGAAACCAUUCUGUUAACAUGCUUUUGGCUUUACUGUUUGCUGCAUAAUUUCUGAGCAGAACUGAACUAUAGAACAGAAUGAUGGAAUAAAUGCAGCGAUGAUGGCUAAAGUGACUAAAACCUGAGAUGACUGAGAAAUAAAGGCACUGUAGAGGAAGGAAGUGUUUAUUGUACAACUCAGUGCCACAAAUGGCUAUGAGAUCUUAAGAUAGAAAAUAAAAUAAGCUUUAAAUUAAUAAAUUACAGGGCAUCUUUCUCAAAGUACAUACCACAUAUACCCUUCUGAUUAUAAGGUUAGUGCAAUAUAUAGAUAUUAAGAUAUUCUUGAUGAUCUAAUAAAAAAGACUUUAAAAUGUAGUUCUCAAGAGUAGACAAUGACCUUAAAAUGGGAAUAUACAAAUAAAUCACUUUCCUCUGCAAAGGGUUAUGCAAAUAAAUUAUUGGACUUUAAAGGAGUAAUAAAUUACAUUGUGCUUUAUUGUGAUAUAUUGUGAUCAACAAUGAAGUUGAUGUAGUACAGUAAAGUUUUCUCU